rnacentral:misc_RNA from 1 species
GUAGGUGAACCUGCGGAGGGAUCAUUACAACGUAUCCACGUAUAAACCUUUGUGAACACUGUUUUUCAAAACCACGUAUAGAGAGUUGGCCACAAACGAGAGGGAAGUGCUCGAAUGUGUCUGCAUACACUCUCUGUAGGUGUACACCUCCCAUUACCACACUUAUUAACCCUUUGUAAACUUAUCUGUAACUUUAAGUUGAACUGGAAACAGUUUAUACUUUAUCAUAUAAGAAAUUAUAUGCACAACUCUUAGCAACGGAUAUCUAGGCUCUC